UGUCCCAUGGCCAAGUUGGUUAAGGCAUCCGACUGUUAACAAAAGCAGCGUCUUCGGGCGGAAAAUCGGAAGAUCGACGGUUCGACCCCGUCUGGGACAG
rfam:Cryptococcus bestiolae CBS 10118 unplaced genomic scaffold supercont1.2, whole genome shotgun sequence.